rnacentral:tRNA from 1 species
GCCGGGGUAGCUAAGUGGCAAAGGCGCAGGCUUUAGGAUCCUGUGGAUGGAAAAUCCUUUAGGGGUUCGAUUCCCCUCCCCGGCA